UUUUGUUGAGAUUUUAGAUAUUUUGUUUUUCUCUCAUUUGAGCAAUAAUACUUAUUUAUUCUCCCCAAUCUCUUUUUUUAUAUUUAUUUACUUUAUGUUUUCGCAUCAAUAUUCAAUAAACCUCAGUAAGGUUUGCUUGGUCUUACGAACACAAGACUACAGCGCCACACGAAACUUGACUAAAGUUCCAAGCUUGUGACAUCUCAUCCAUAGGAUCAUUUUUUGUAUAAGCAGUCCUUUUUUCACUUGCAGUAUCAUUCAUUCCCAUUCUAAGCUAUUAGCAGUACCUUCACAGGCUAAAGUAUUAGGAAUUUCAAUACUUGACUUGGGUGCUUAAAGGCUUCUAUCUGGCAAUUUAUUUGUUCCUGCAUCUCUAUUCACUAAUUCAUGAGACAAUGUAGUGGCAUUCAAAGCUCCAAUAUUGUCUUAUGUCUUGGUUGCAUUAUUCAGCACCGAAAUCUUCUUUGAAGAGGCUAUUUUAAUGGCACCAAAGCAAACAUUUUUACGUUUUGCUUUGGCUGAAGAUUGCUCUCUAUUUGCAACAAUGGUAGAUUGUAGCAAAGGUCGUUUCAAUAUCUCUUUCAAGCUAGUUACAGUUUUAUGUGAUUUAGCUACAAUCGACACAAAGGUGCUUGCUCUAAAGAUUCAUGGAUCACCUCCUUUUCGUCAUGACCUUCGUCGACUUCUUCUAACAAAUGGAAUCUUGAGCCUGAUUUUGGGUUGCUUUUAGUAAUCUAUUCAUGGCUAGUUUGCUUCCCUCUAGUCUUUGCUCCUCCCUCUAUUCUAUUAACAAUAUUCUUCCUAUAGUUCUUUUUGGUUAUCAUCCAUGAACCAAAUCUAGAGGUAUCAAAAUCCUUCAUAGGGUUCUUAUUUGAAUCAUCCACCUUCAAUGCUUGCUUUUCAAAUAAUCCUUCAUUCAUUCUUUGUUUCAUAAGACAAACCUCUGCAAAUGUUCAAAUUUGCCAUGGUGAAAACAAAGCAUUUUGAUUUUUGAGUCCAUACCAUGCAAGAUAGCAACUAUCGCUUAACAUGCGCCUAUAAGCUUUCCUAUAUUUUUGUUUUUACUAUAUUUAGGUAUUUUGAUUCAACAGUUUUGCAAUUAUUAAUUAUUUAAAAUAAAUUUUUUAUUUUCAUCAUUUCAUGCACCUAAAAAUUUGGUAUUU
rnacentral:lncRNA from 1 species